AAAAGAUGUCAUAAUACAAUCCGUAAUCAUUCGCCAUGAAUCAAUAUAUUCUAUUCUCAUAUGGGUUUGAAAACCCUCAUUUCUUUCCACUCUUCUUGAGCCCAGAACCUCCGAAAGUUCCUUUCUGUGCUGCCUUGGCCCUAAGCUCCUUAAGUGCCUUUUCCUCUUCCUUUUUCUUCUGAAUGUUUGCCGUAUCAGUCUCAUCGUAAUCCUUCUUUUCAGCCUUGGGCUGCUUCAAAGGCUUUGCUUUUCCACCUUGCUUGGAAGACAUGGCUGGUACUUAGGAUUAGGGUCUGAUUUGAAGAAACGAAAGAAGAAUUGAGAGAAAGACGAAGAGAGUCCUAGCCCUAAUUCACGCAAUUAUUGCAGGCACUUCG
rnacentral:misc_RNA from 1 species